rnacentral:rRNA from 1 species
GGCGAACGCUGGCGGCGUGCUUAACACAUGCAAGUCGAGCGGUAAGGCCCUUUCGGGGGUACACGAGCGGCGAACGGGUGAGUAACACGUGGGUGACCUGCCCUCAGCUCUGGGAUAAGCCUGGGAAACCGGGUCUAAUACUGGAUAUGACUCCAUGACGCAUGUUGUGGGGUGGAAAGCCUUGUGCGGCUGAGGAUGGGCCCGCGGCCUAUCAGCUUGUUGGUGGGGUGANGGCCUACCAAGGCGACGACGGGUAGCCGGCCUGAGAGGGCGACCGGCCACACUGGGACUGAGACACGGCCCAGACUCCUACGGGAGGCAGCAGUGGGGAAUCUUGCGCAAUGGGCGAAAGCCUGACGCAGCGACGCCGCGUGAGGGAUGACGGCCUGUGU